rnacentral:rRNA from 1 species
CCUACGGGGGGCAGCAGUGGGGAAUAUUGGACAAUGGGGGCAACCCUGAUCCAGCCAUGCCGCGUGUGUGAAGAAGGCCCUCGGGUUGUAAAGCACUUUCAGUGAGGAAGAACGCCUGUUGGUUAAUACCCAUCAGGAAAGACAUUACUCACAGAAGAAGCACCGGCUAACUCCGUGCCAGCAGCCGCGGUAAUACGGAGGGUGCGAGCGUUAAUCGGAAUUACUGGGCGUAAAGCGCGCGUAGGUGGCUUGAUAAGCCGGUUGUGAAAGCCCCGGGCUCAACCUGGGAACGGCAUCCGGAACUGGCUAGCUAGAGUGCAGGAGAGGAAGGUAGAAUUCCCGGUGUAGCGGUGAAAUGCGUAGAGAUCGGGAGGAAUAUCAGUGGCGAAGGCGGCCUUCUGGACUGACACUGACACUGAGGUGCGAAAGCGUGGGUAGCAAACAGGAUUAGAUACCCCAGUAGUC